UAUAAUAACGCCUGUUCUGAUUGGCGGCGCGACUUAGUGCAGGUAGAUGGAACAAGCUAGCGAGGGUCAAACAAGUUAGCUUUCGGGUGUGUGUGCAAACAUCACGCCACAAUGUUAAACUCUAUUUAGGCAACAUGUGUUUUCAUGACUGGCCGAUGAAACUACAAUAGAUUUACGGAGAACAACAUACAGCGGUGUCUGGUGGCUAUGCUAACGCUAGCUAAGAUAACACCUGGUGUCAGGAGGCAGGAAUAAUUGUACAGGAUGGAAAGCACCGAUUCAACAGAUUCGUCCCUGGGUCCGGUCUGCUGACGGCGCCGGUGACAGGCAAGCGUGGCCUUUCUCUCAGCGAACAUUUUGUCCCGGUGGAACUGUCAAAUGAAACCAAUAACAGUUGGGAGUGUCCGAUCAAGUUGGGACUGAUGACAACUGAAAAUGCCACAGCAUCCUCUAGAAGGCGCUGCGCUGACAGGGCUGGGGGUGAGUAACGGGUCUGCGGGGAGCGGUCCAGGAACAUCAACCAUUAAACUGGAUGAGCUACUCGCCCCAAGGAAGAGCGCUUGCAGGGACAAAGUGUUUCAUAGCCCGCCAUACAUGGACGCCUCAGAGGUCAGCCCCCGGAGCUUAGAACAAAUGGGGCCUUUUAUCUGGCAUGAUAUCACAAGAAUUGCAAGAGCUGCCAGGAGUGUGCACUCAGUGGAAUAGCAGAGAGGAGAAGUGAGAGCGAGGAGUCUGGAGUCUCGCCUGUUCUGUCAUUGCUCCAAGCUCAUCGCAGUCUUCUGCAAAGUGGAUCCUGAGACAAGACACUAGACCCGCAACACAUAACAAUAUACAAUAAUUUGUAUAAACCUCUAUGACGACAGUCUAAAGCGUCAUUCCUGCAGCUGAGGCCUAUUUAACACUGUAUUGAAAUUCUUUCCUAUAUAUGUUAAUGAAGCACACAGAGGACAAACACCAUCCUGGCUGUGAAGAAUCAGGCCACAGCAUCUGAAUUCCUGCACGGUGAGUGUGAGAGAAGGUCAAAGCUUCCAGGCAGCGGCUCGGCCCCCUGGGCAGCACAACGGUCAGUCGAGACAGCUCAUCCAUAGCUUUGGGGUGAGUAACCGCGCGCUCACAAUGCUGGUCAGUGAGCAGUGAAUGAGAGGUGGACCGAUGUGGCCCGUCAUUGGGAGGGAGGCUCUGCUUCCAGUCUAAAGGGACAAUGCUGGACAGGACGAGGGCUGAUGUGGUGGUUUGGACUCUGUCGCCGUCGUUCCUCCAGGACCUUGUUUUGCUCCUUCCAGCCGCCGUGCAGCCGCUGCCGCUGCCGCCCCCGCGGCUGCAGCCUCGACGGCCGCCUCGGUGGCGUGCGCCGCUGCGCUGCCGCCGGCGGCCUCUGAUGUCUCUGUGGUUAUAAGAUGGUGUUGACAGUUGACAGACAGAGGGUGUGCAGCGCGUGAUGAGGGGCCGGCUGAGCUCGCUCAGAUGGCUGAAGGUCACGGCGGCCGAGGGCUUCAUCACCGCUCGCUCGCAUCAACGGCGCUGAUGAGACGAUGACUCAUCCUGACGGCGCAGCCGUGUAAUAAACACCUUCAAAGGAAAGACCUGAUCAGCACAAGGUUCCCAACAUCUUUUAUAUAAUUACACAAAUGUAGAUAUUUAUUCAAACAGCCUUCCUCACUGAUUUUACUUGAUUAGUCUCCCAGUGACUGCAACCUUCGCGUUACUUAGUUGUGAGCCUGCAGCCACUGUUUCAUAAUAAGCUGCUGCUGCUGGAUUGCAAUGCUUGCUCAGACACUUAUAUUAAUCUGGAUUUGUGCGGUUUAUGUGGCUUUCAUGUCAAAGGAUCGGUUUAAAAACACUGCACAGGAGGACUCUCUCACAAUGAAGCCGUACAGUGGGAGCAGCAGCUGCAUACAUUUACUUUACGCAACUGGAAGGAUUAUAGGAGCCUAAAAAAAAAGAUUCCUUGAUCGUGUCGCAUGAUUAAAGGAUCAUGUCCCAUGAUCCUCCGGGCUCAUAACACCCUUUUAGCCCUUUAGAAUCCCACACAGUUGCUUUGUGGUCCGUCGAGAGGCAAAGCUCUUUAUCUUAUUGACUGAAAAAUCUGCAUGCGUCGGUGUUGCUUUGAUAAAAUAUAUCAAAGGAGCAAUUUGCACAUUUCGCCAUUUUGGUGAUUUAUUCAGAAAGUUGUCUUCUGUUUUAGUGUUACUUUAUUUACUGCAGUGUC